rnacentral:rRNA from 1 species
AUUGAACGCUGGCGGCAUGCCUUACACAUGCAAGUCGAACGGCAGCACGGGAGCAAUCCUGGUGGCGAGUGGCGAACGGGUGAGUAAAGUAUCGGAACGUGCCCAGUCGUGGGGGAUAACGUAGCGAAAGUUACGCUAAUACCGCAUACGAUCUAUGGAUGAAAGCGGGGGAUCGCAAGACCUCGCGCGAUUGGAGCGGCCGAUAUCAGAUUAGGUAGUUGGUGGGGUAAAGGCUCACCAAGCCGACGAUCUGUAGCUGGACUGAGAGGACGACCAGCCACACUGGGACUGAGACACGGCCCAGACUCCUACGGGAGGCAGCAGUGGGGAAUUUUGGACAAUGGGCGAAAGCCUGAUCCAGCCAUGCCGCGUGCAGGAUGAAGGCCUUCGGGUUGUAAACUGCUUUUGUACGGAACGAAAAGGUUUGGGCUAAUAAGCUGAGCUCAUGACGGUACCGUAAGAAUAAGCACCGGCUAACUCUGUGCCAGCCGCCGCGGUAA